rnacentral:ncRNA from 1 species
CAAAGAAAAAGGUGCGUGCCGCACUCACGAGGGACUGCCAGUGAGAUACUGGAGGAAGGUGGGGAUGACGUCAAGUCCGCAUGGCCCUUAUGGGCUGGGCCACACACGUGCUACAAUGGCAAUGACAAUGGGAAGCAAGGCUGUAAGGCGGUGCGAAUCCGGAAAGAUUGCCUCAGUUCGGAUUGUUCUCUGCAACUCGGGAACA